UGAAGGUACCUUUCUUAAUUGCACUGUCAUCCAUAGCCUUAUAUUCCAUAUUCUUCAAUGCAAGUUCAACGCCAUAACCACCCAAAUUUAAGGAGUCUUUGGCACCAACAGUACCACAAUUGCCAACUUUUUCUUCACAGCCAGAGGGUAAAACCGGUCUAACCACAUAUUUUAUCCUCCCCUGUCUGGCAGCUUCAACCAGUGUGACAUGAAAUUGCCUAAAACAAUCAGUUCCAA
rnacentral:misc_RNA from 1 species